rnacentral:rRNA from 1 species
CCUUUCAAGUGAGUGGCGAACGGGUGAGUAACACGUGGAUAACCUACCUCAAGGUUGGGGAUAACAUUUGGAAACAGAUGCUAAUACCGAAUAAAACUUAGUAUCGCAUGAUACCAGGUUAAAAGGCGCUACGGCGUCACCUAGAGAUGGAUCCGCGGUGCAUUAGUUAGUUGGUGGGGUAAAGGCUUACCAAGACAAUGAUGCAUAGCCGAGUUGAGAGACUGAUCGGCCACAUUGGGACUGAGACACGGCCCAAACUCCUACGGGAGGCUGCAGUAGGGAAUCUUCCACAAUGGGCGAAAGCCUGAUGGAGCAACGCCGCGUGUGUGAUGAAGGCUUUCGGGUCGUAAAGCACUGUUGUAUGGGAAGAACAGCUAGAGUAGGGAAUGACUUUAGUUUGACGGUACCAUACCAGAAAGGGACGGCUAAAUACGUGCCAGCAGCCGCGGUAAUACGUAUGUCCCGAGCGUUAUCCGGAUUUAUUGGGCGUAAAGCGAGCGCAGACGGUUAAUUAAGUCUGAUGUGAAAGCCCGGAGCUCAACUCCGGAAAGGCAUUGGAAACUGGUUAACUUGAGUGCAGUAGAGGUAAGUGGAACUCCAUGUGUAGCGGUGGAAUGCGUAGAU